AUACGGAGGGGGUUAGCGUUGUUCGGAAUUACUGGGCGUAAAGCGUACGUAGGCGGACUGGAAAGUUGGGGGUGAAAUCCCGGGGCUCAACCCCGGAACUGCCUCCAAAACUUCCAAUCUAGAGAUCGAGAGAGGUGAGUGGAAUUCCAAGUGUAGAGGUGAAAUUCGUAGAUAUUUGGAGGAACACCAGUGGCGAAGGCGGCUCAUUGGCUCGAUACUGACGCUGAGGUACGAAAGCGUGGGGAGCAAACAGGAUUAGAAACCCUAGUAGUCC
rnacentral:rRNA from 1 species